rnacentral:sRNA from 1 species
UGCCAACAAAUUACUGCACAGGUGUACAAUGAAUACAGAACUCGUGACAUAGGAACUUCAUUGUUCACAUGGAUGGAACACAAUUUGCCUGCAUCUGAUGAUAAGAUUACUUCACCAACAUUUUUCGCCGGGUAUUAAUUUACCAACAUGAUUGGUAAUCAAAUUCAGAACUCAGAACAUGUCAGAUAUUGAUAAUAGGUGGAAUGUGAGAUUACGUGAAAGCACUUUAAUUUUUUUCCCAGAACUUUUCAUUUUAACCUUUGCUCGUAUAAGUCAGAGCAUUGUAAAGUCAGAACACACUGAUUUGGACCACACCGAGGUAUAAUUUCAGAGUCUAAGGCCCUCCACAU